GUGAUGUGAUUUUCCGAGCAGCUGAAGAUAAUUCUUCUUGAAGUGUUGAAGCAGGGUACCAGAUGGGUGGGAAUUUACAGUCUGUGAGGCAAGCUGUCACUCACAGGAAGUCAGUCUCUGUACAACAUGCUGAAGAAUGUCUUGAUUCCUAGAGUGCAUCAGAUGGCAGCUUGUGUCUGGCGCAUUGCAUAUGCUGCACGUGUAGGACAGCAAGUAUCUGAGACCUAGACCACGAUAACUGGGACUGCAUUCCUGCUCUAAGUGUAAACAGUGUUCUUGUGCAUGCAUGCAUUAUGUUUUUUCAUGUGAGUGCCUGUGUUUUGUGGUAUUCACUACUGUGAUUUGUGAUGCAGAGCAGUUAGGAUUUUAUAGUUUAAUUGCACUGCUGCUGCUGCUGUUGUCAACAGCGACACGCCCAGCCCUUCCCUCUUCAUGUCGCGGUAGGAUAUUUUCACAGGAGGUGGGCACCUGCCUCGGCUUCCUUGCUGAUUGUUUCCAGGACCGGGGGCCUCUGUAGUCCAGACAUUUUUUGCAGUGAGCUAACAUUUCCUUGCAUUAUGGUCGCAGAAUAGCUCUCCUUGUCUAUUGUACUGCAUGUUAAAACUCCUUAUGGAUUUGGGAACAGCGAUUGGGGAAAGUGGAAGGAGGGGAAGGGGGAGAUUCCGGGGAAUUCCAGUGGCAUUCCUAUCAGAUUGCCUUCCUCACUCUUUUCUUUUUUGUUUCAGUGUAAUCAGUGGUGUCAAGGUCAUGUCAGCUCUGUGCUUGUGAAGUAUUAUUAACAAGACCCUGCACUUCCUAGAAAAAAAAAUUAAGCAAAAAGCUCAUUUUGAAAUUGCAAAUUUGACAGAUAUUUUAGAUUUCUCUAAAGACAUAGGAGUAGCAGUGCUCCCUGUAGGAACAAAGAUAUUUGAGUUUGUCCAUCUCAAGAGCGUGUGCCCUCCCCUUAUGUGUAUUUUGAGAAAAGCACACCGCUAUUAGAGUACCUGCCGCAUUACGUUUCACAGUGAUUAGAUCAAAAAAUCCUCCAACAAAGUGCCAACAAAAAGUGCUGCUUCUACACUGGAGAUCCAAAGGAGAAAAGACACAAAGGAAAAAAGACAAAUAAACAAAAUCACGAUUGCAAAAGGCUUCUUAUCUAUGUUGACAGUAAACAGAGAACAGAGGGUGUGUGGUAAGAGAGGAACAGAAAAGGAAGGUCAGUCUGAGUGCUCUCGGCUGGGCUCAUGUUUUUAACCCAGUGAUGCUUGGUUUGACUCCAAAGCCUCAAAGCCAUAUCUGCCACUGCCCUGAUCAUCCAACCAUCCACCUAUUUAUCACUUUGACUCGGAGGGAUAAACGGAAAGCAGUAAAAUGCAUUUAAAAAAGUAAAAGUAUGUUUUUGUUUACAAUAAAUGUACCAAAAUAAGACAUAAGUUAUAAAUUGGUGUGUAACUUCAUUCCAUGCGCUCCUACGCCUCACUACAUUAGAGUACACUAGUUCUCAAACUCCAGAUUGUUCUCAUCACUUUGAUUCAUAUAGCCCUAAUGCUACUAUUUGUACAGUUUUAUGCAGGAUUUUAUUUAAUACUAAAAAACAGCUAGGACGCCCUAACUAUAGGUUGUCCUAUAAUUACUAGCAAAGGUAUUCUGAUAGUGCAGCCGUUCCCAUAGUCAAGAGAGGCCGACUUAAAAGCCAUAAAAAUCCCAUGGAGU